rnacentral:rRNA from 1 species
ACGGGGGAGGAACACGUGGGUAACCUGCCCUGAAGUGGGGGAUAACAUUUGGAAACAGAUGCUAAUACCGCAUAGAUCCAAGAACCGCAUGGUUCUUGGCUGAAAGAUGGCGUAAGCUAUCGCUUUUGGAUGGACCCGCGGCGUAUUAGCUAGUUGGUGAGGUAAUGGCUCACCAAGGCGAUGAUACGUAGCCGAACUGAGAGGUUGAUCGGCCACAUUGGGACUGAGACACGGCCCAAACUCCUACGGGAGGCAGCAGUAGGGAAUCUUCCACAAUGGACGCAAGUCUGAUGGAGCAACGCCACGUGAGUGAAGAAGGCUUUCGGGUCGUAAAACUCUGUUGUUGGAGAAGAAUGGUCGGCAGAGUAACUGUUGUCGGCGUGACGGUAUCCAACCAGAAAGCCACGGCUAACUACGUGCCAGCAGCCGCGGUAAUACGUAGGUGGCAAGCGUUAUCCGGAUUUAUUGGGCGUAAAGCGAGCGCAGGCGGUUUUUUAAGUCUGAUGUGAAAGCCCUCGGCUUAACCGAGGAAGCGCAUCGGAAACUGGGAAACUUGAGUGCAGAAGAGGACAGUGGAACUCCAUGUGUAGCGGUGAAAUGCGUAGAUAUAUGGAAGAACACCAGUGGCGAAGGCGGCUGUCUGGUCUGUAACUGACGCUGAGGCUCGAAAGCAUGGGUAGCGAACAGGAUUAGAUACCCUGGUAGUCCAUGCCGUAAACGAUGAAUGCUAGGUGUUGGAGGGUUUCCGCCCUUCAGUGCCGCAGCUAACGCAUUAAGCAUUCCGCC